AGUGAACGCUGGCGGUAGGCCUAACACAUGCAAGUCGAACGGCAGCACAGGAGAGCUUGCUCUCUGGGUGGCGAGUGGCGGACGGGUGAGGAAUACAUCGGAAUCUACUCUUUCGUGGGGGAUAACGUAGGGAAACUUACGCUAAUACCGCAUACGACCUACGGGUGAAAGCAGGGGACCUUCGUGCCUUGCGCGAUGUAAUGCGCCGAUUUCGGAAUAGCUAGUAGGCGGGGUAAAGGCCCACCAAGGCGACGAUCCGUAGCUGGUCUGAGAGGAUGCUCAGCCACACUGGAACGGAGACACGGUCCAGACUCCUACGGGAGGCAGCAGUGGGGAAUAUUGGACAAUGGGCGCAAGCCUGAUCCAGCCAAACCGCGUGGGUGAAGAAGGCCUUCGGGUUGUAAAGCCCUUUUGUUGGGAAAGAAAUCCAGCUGGCUAAUACCCGGUUGGGAUGACGGUACCCAAAGAAUAAGCACCGGCUAACUUCGUGCCAGCCGCCGCCGUAA
rnacentral:rRNA from 1 species